ensembl:lncRNA
CCUUUUUCAUUAUCCAUGAAUGUUGACUCUGAUAAGGGGAUCCUGACCAUGAGAGCAUCUCUCUGUCUCGGUCUCCGGCGCUCUUUGCAGUCCUUUGUUUUAUCUCAGGUGAAUUGUAAUCAUGUGAUCAAACGAACACCCCCCUUCCAUUACCCUCUUAAAUGAAAAAAUGAGGAACAAAAAGCAGUUCUGUGUAUAUAAAAAAAGAAAAGAAAAGAGAAAAGACGCGCGUCUCCCUUUGGAGAGUCUUUUCUCCGUGUGGCUUCAAACGUACACAUAUAGAGGAAAAGCGCGGCGCCGUGUCUCCGUCUCUCGGCGGUACAGAUGUGCGGGGAUCACGCGGAUCUGAGGCCUGCUGCACGCUUUGAUGACGCUCUGGUGGAGCUCUCUCUCCCCUCGGGCCGCUGUGGGCCUUGUGACUCUCGUCUUGAUUUCUGAGGGUCACGCUGGAUGGAGGAUCAGAGCAUCUGCUUCUCACGGCCUCGUUCCUGCUGAUUGAUCUGUGAUUGAUCAGAUCUCAGCGAUCACUCAGCAGAGACUCUAAUAAAUGACUUUAUUAAACAUCUGUGAUUUCAUCAGGAACUGUCAGUCUUUUCAUCAGCAUGUUAGAAUAAAAAAAAUAUUGUUUAUAACAUAUUUUAAAAUGACACAAAGACCAGAUAACUUACCCAGCAUCUGUUGCUAGGGUGUCGCUGUGCAGUUUCUAGGGUGUUUAGAGUAGUUGCAGUUGCUAGUGCGUUCCAGGUAGUUGAUAUUGUGUUCUGAGUGGUUGUUAGGGUGUUAUUAGUGGUUGUUGGGGAGUUCUGUGUGGUUGUUAGGGUCUUGCUAGUGGUUGAUAGGGUGUUCUGUGUGGUUGUUAGGGUGUUGUUAGAGAUUGUUAGGGUGUUCUGUGUGGUUGUAAGGGUGUUCUGUGUGGUUGUUAGGGUGAUGUUAUGGCAUUCUUUGUGGUUGUUAGGGCAUUCUGUGUGGUUGCUAUGGUGUUGUUUGUUGUUGUUAGGGUGUUUUUAGUGGUUGUUAGGGCAUUCUGUUCAGUUGUUAGGUGUUUUCUGACUGUCUGAUGUGUAUAGAGUCCUGCAGUCUCGUGUCUCUGUGAUCUUCUGCACUGUGGAUGUGGUUCUGGUUUCUCCUUCAUUAUCUGUAGGGGUUUUCACCUGUUUUCUUGUUGAGCAGAUGAAAAUGAUCUCACAUGAUCCGAGGAAUCCUUGAGUUAACAGGUCCUAAUGAAUCUUUACAGGUCUUUAAAGCGGCAGUAAAGUGCUGGUGAAGAUCAUUGAUUGUGUGUUUGUCAGUGAGAUCAAACGGAUGGCUCUCAAACGUCUCUGAUUAUGUGACAUCACAUGACUCACAGGCCUGCAGGAACACAAACACAUUUCACUGCUACUGGAACAGACGGCAUGUUUCUCUCUCUGGCAGAAAUGCCCCUGAAACAGAGACUGUAACACCAGAAACCUGAGCUGUGAUUAUAUGAGGAUCCUGAACAUCUCAGGUUCAGUCCAACUGCACCCGGGUCCUUCAGCCAAACAGAUGUGCUCCUGCGGUUGAGGAAGACUCCGAAGGGCGAUGAGGAAGAGUGUGAGGCUGUAAAGACUGACUGACUUUCCAAUCAUGUGUUUUUCUGGGAACAUUGAAUUACAGCGGUGGGGGGCGGAGAUGAACGAAUGAAAGGAGUCGUUGUUACUGACGGGAUGGACAGAUGAAAGAGAGAGAAAGAGAGAGAGAUGAAAGACAGAGAGGAUGAGAAAUCACUGUGACAAACACACACACACA